UUUCUCACCACUGAGGACCAGACUGUGCCUGUCUCCACCAUGGGCUCCGGGUUCCUCUGCUGUAUGGUCCUCUGCCUCCUGGGAGCAGCACCCCUGGACACAACAGUUUCCCAGACUCCAAGAUACCUCAUCGCGCACGUGGGAUCUAAGAAGUUACUAAAAUGUGAGCAAAAUCUGGGCCAUAAUGCUAUGUACUGGUAUAAGCAAGACCUCAAGCAACUGCUGAAGAUCAUGUUUAUCUACUUUAAUCAGGAACUCAGUCUAAAUGAAUCAGUUCCAGGUCGUUUCUCACCUAAGACAUCUGACAAAGCUCAUUUAAACCUUCAUGUCGACUCCCUGGAGACAGGUGACUCUGCUGUGUAUUUCUGUGCCAGCAGCCAAGACACAGCCCUACACACUCACUACACCCCUGUGCACAAACCCCCUGGCCCAGCCAGGAAGCUGUGGGGACUAUAUGUUCACAUGAACCUAAGCUCCAUUCACCACCACCCCUAA